rnacentral:rRNA from 1 species
GCUACUGCUAUUGGGAUCCGAUUAAGCCAUGCGAGUCGAGAGGGUUCGGCCCUCGGCAGACGGCUCAGUAACACGUGGAUAAUCUACCCUUAGGUGGAGGAUAACCUCGGGAAACUGAGAAUAAUACUCCAUAGGUCUAGAAUGCUGGAAUGCAUCUAGGCUUAAAGUUCAGGCGCCUAAGGAUGAGUCUGCGGACUAUCAGGUAGUAGUCAGGGUAAAGACCUGACUAGCCUACGACGGAUACGGGUUGUGAGAGCAAUUGCCCGGAGACGAUAUCUGAGACACGAUAUCGGGCCCUACGGGGCGCAGCAGGCGCGAAACCUUCACACUGUGCGAGAGCACGAUGAGGGGAUCCCAAGUGCUAGCUCGUAAGAGUUAGCUGUUUCUUUGUCUAAAAAACAGAGAGAGUAAGAGCUGGGUAAGACGGGUGCCAGCCGCCGCGGUAAUACCUGCAGCUCGAGUGGUGGCCGCUAUUAUUGGGCCUAAAACGUUCGUAGCCGGUUUAGUAAAUGCUUGGGUAAAUUGUGUCGCUUAACGAUACGAAUACCGGGUAGACUGCUAAACUUGGGACCGGGAGAGGUUAGAGGUACUCCUGGGGUAGAGGUGAAAUUCUGUAAUCCUGGGGGGACCACCAGUGGCGAAGGCGUCUAACCAGAACGGGUCUGACGGUGAGGGACGAAGCCCUGGGGCGCAAACCGGAUUAGAUACCCGGGUAGUCCAGGGUGUAAACGCUGCUCGCUUGAUGUUAGUUGGGCUCCGAGCCCACCUAGUGUCGGA